AUCUCUCUCUCUCUCUCUCUCUCUCUCUCUCUCUCUCUGUGUGUGUGUGUGUGUGUGUGAGAGAGAGAGAGAGAGAGAGAGAGAU